rnacentral:rRNA from 1 species
CCUGGUUGAUCCUGCCAGUAGUCAUAUGCUUGUCUCAAAGAUUAAGCCAUGCAAGUCUAAGUAUAAAUCAUUUUUACUGAUGAAACUGUGAACGGCUCAUUAAAUCAGUUAUAGUUUAUUUGAUGGUAUUGAGGUUUACCUCAACUACAUGGAUAACUGUAGUAACCUAGAGCUAAUACAUGCAAAACAAUUCAACUUUUUGGAAGAAUUGGCACUUAUUAGAUAUCAAACCAAUAUAUUUUCGGAUAUUUUUAUGGUGAGUCAUAAUAACUGAACAGAUCGCAUGACCUCGUGUCGGCGACGUUUCAUUCAAAUUUCUGCCCUAUCAACUAGAUGUUAGUAUAUUGGACUAACAUGGUGGUAACGGGUAACGGGGAAUUGGGGUUCGAUUCCGGAGAAGGAGCAUGAGAAACGGCUACUACUUCUAAGGAAAGCAGCAGGCGCGCAAAUUAUUCAAUGGAAACAAUUUUCCGAAAUAGUGACAAUUAAUAACAAUACGUUGCAUAAAUUGUGAUGUAAUUGGAAUGAGUACAGUUUAAAACCCUUAACGAGUAACAAUUAGAGGGCAAGUCUGGUGCCAGCAGCCGCGGUAAUUCCAGCUCUAAUAGCGUAUAUUAAUAUUGUUGCAGUUAAAAAGCUCGUAGUUGAAUUUUGAAUAUUUAAAUAAGUUUGGUUUACUUUUAUAAGUAUGACUACUUAUUUAUAUUCUUCCUACUAGUAACUCGAUUCUGUUCUUAAUUGAAUGGAAUAGCAUUCUUUCGGGAGUGUCGAUUAGGAUGUAUAUCUCCACCAAUAAGUGGAGAGGCGUUAAAACCUUAAAGUUUAUUGAGUGGAUCAAGAUAUAUAUUUUAAUUGGAGUUCUAGUUCAUUUACUUUGAGAAAAUUAGAGUGUUUAAGGCAACCUCUUGGGGUUCUGAAUACAUUAGCAUGGGAUAAUAAAAUAGGAUUUAAAUUAUAUAUUUGUUGGUUUGAAUAAUUUAAAUAAUGAUUAAUAGGGAUAGUUGGGGGUAUUUAUAUUGGAUGGUUAGCGGUGAAAUGCAUGGAUCCAUUCAAGAUAAACUAAAGCGAAAGCAUUUACCAAGGAUGUUUUCAUUAAUCAAGAACGAAAGUUAAGGGAUCGAAGAUGAUCAGAUACCGUCGUAGUCUUAACUAUAAACUAUGCCGACCAGGGAUAUGAGUUGUUA